AGCCAGUUGCAGCAGCUGUUUUGGGGGGCCGAGGGGUGUUAUGAUGAGUUUCUAAGAGUGUCAUAGGCAGUACAAAUGAAGCAGCAGCAAUUGAUUAUACCUCACUGACAGCAUAAAACAGAACAAACAUACAGUUCCUUCCAUGAAAAGCCCAUGCCAGAAUGGAAGCCCUGGACAAACACAAAAGGAGGCAUGGUCCCUGCCCCUCUCAGGCGGAACAGUGGCUCAGUCUCUACCAUGGCACCAUCUGCACUGUAAAAGGACAAAACAGAAAGAGAUUAGGGA